AGCUCCAGAAGCGUAUAUUAAAGUUGUUGCAGUUAAAACGCUCGUAGUCGGGUUUCGGGUCGGGCCGAGCGGUCUGCCGAUGGGUAUGCACUGUUUGGCGCGGCCUUCUUUCCGGAGACCGCGGCUACUCUUAACUGAGCGGGCGUGGGAGACGGAUCGUUUACUUUGAAAAAAUCAGAGUGUUUCAAGCAGGCAGCUCGCUCUUGCAUGGUACAGCAUGGGAUGAUUGAAUAGGACUCCGGUGCUAUUUUGUUGGUUUCGAACACCAGGAGUAAUGAUUAACAGGGACAGUCAGGGGCACUCGUAUUCCGUCGAGAGAGGUGAAAUUCUCAGACCAAUGGAAGACGAACCACUGCGAAAGCAUUUGCCAGGGAUGUUUUCACUG
rnacentral:rRNA from 1 species